AGUACCCAGAUGCAGAGGGGUUGCUUUGCAUUAGAGUUAUAUAGUUGAGUUCCAGUUAAGACCUAGUCCCAAAGGGGGGGGUGAACAAGUUCUGGAUUUGAGCUCUACUGGGCCCUAGGUUCAUCACUGGACGAGCGAUCGAUCGAGCCCCUGUAUGUGGGAGAAAGGAAGAUGUUGCUUGGUCAAACCCUCCCAUUGGGUGGGUCAGCUCCACUCAAACUACACAGAAUGGCUGAGUGUGGGGACAAGGACAAUGAAUAUAGAGCUUGAAGGAGAGAAAUGGACCCUGGGGAAAGAAGAAAAUCGGUGCCCACUUCCUGCCCACUUCCCAGGAGGAAAGCACAUAACCCAGCAGACAGUGAGAUGAGUCAGGAUGACUCCUUUACCACUGCUCCAAAAGAGAAACUACAAAGCAGCAGGUUUCACUAUGACGCUGAGAAUCCUUCUUUCAAGCUGUCAGCCAUCAGAAGUCGAUCCUGCCAUCAGCUGAAGCAGAUGCUGUAUCCAGGGGAUCAGAAGGUGUUGAUUGGCCAACUCGGAGUCAUGUCCUUGUCCUUGCCCUGUCUACAUUAAAGGUGGGGGUCAGCCCCACCCGCACUGCAUAGGUGAGUAUUGGGAGGUAAGGGAUCCCCGGAGGAUCACCACAGUGUACCCCGGUUGUCAGACUACAAGCCUACAGCCUCACACUGGCUUGGAAAAAUAAGAGGUGGGUUUGGGGAAGCAGAGGGGAGAGGCACAGGGAGGUGACAGCAAGCCAUGGGACAAGAGUCUCUGGCUCGGGAAAGGAGGUGACAAUGACUUCCAACCCAGCAGAGUGUGCGGCCCCACCAGGGAUCCAGAGAACGGCUUCCUCUUGGUGUCUUCAUGCCACAAGAUGUAAAAUAAUCCCCUCAGCUCAGAAAAACACAUUUUAUGGCUGUCUGACUCAUUUCCCACAAAGCUAGGUUCGCCGCCCGCCGCCCCCCCACUACGUUUACGGCUUUUGUUUUGAAAAAAAAAAAAAAAGUAUGCUGAAGAUUUUGGGAUGACUUUUGGACAUAAAUUGUUCCCUUCUUCACCCUCGUCCCAGGCCCCCCUCACCUAAUUUCUCAAACGUUGGCUGACAGUGGCUGUGAAGGACCUGAUCCAAGUGUGUGUGGGAUGACUUGGGGAGCUCUGGGCUGCAUAGCCCUGGGGCAGGGCAGGCUGAUGCCUGCUGGGCACUGAGACAGGCUAGCACUCUGGGGUGAGGGUGGGGGUGUCCCUGGGCCUGCUGCUUUGGGGUCUUAGGCAGUGAUGUCACCAGCUUCUAGCCUGGCAAUCUCCUUAGGGGGCUUGAGGGGUAAAGGUCGCAUCAAACCGGUUGCUUUUUCCGUCAAUACCCAAGCUAAGGAGAGAGCGCUAUGGGGCCGACUCAAUCGUUGAUCCGGGACAUGGCCCAGCCCUUGGGGCUAGACUGCAGCUUAAGCUCACCAAAGUGAACUUGGGUGUUCUUGGAUCUGAUCCCGUUAAGGCUCUCAACCCUCGGUGCACAUGCACGCCCCCCAGCUCCCAGAAACUAAUUCUUUGCACUCAUUUUCUCAGCUCUCCUGGC
rnacentral:lncRNA from 1 species